GACGAACGCUGGCGGCGUGCUUAACACAUGCAAGUCGAACGGAAAGGCCCUGCUUUUGUGGGGUGCUCGAGUGGCGAACGGGUGAGUAACACGUGAGUAACCUGCCCUUGACUUUGGGAUAACUUCAGGAAACUGGGGCUAAUACCGGAUAGGAGCUCCUGCUGAAUGGUGGGGGUUGGAAAGUUUCGGCGGUUGGGGAUGGACUCGCGGCUUAUCAGCUUGUUGGUGGGGUAGUGGCUUACCAAGGCUUUGACGGGUAGCCGGCCUGAGAGGGUGACCGGCCACAUUGGGACUGAGAUACGGCCCAGACUCCUACGGGAGGCAGCAGUGGGGAAUAUUGCACAAUGGGCGGAAGCCUGAUGCAGCAACGCCGCGUGCGGGAUGACGGCCUUCGGGUUGUGAACCGCUUUCGCCUGUGACGAAGCGUGAGUGACGGUAAUGGGUAAAGAAGCACCGGCUAACUACGUG
rnacentral:rRNA from 1 species